rnacentral:rRNA from 1 species
GAUGAACGCUAGCGGCAGGCCUAACACGUGCAAGUCGAGGGAGAAGCCCUUCGGGGCAGAAACCGGCGCACGGGUGCGUAACGCGUAUGCAACCUACCUUUCACAGGGGGAUAGCCCGAAGAAAUUUGGAUUAAUACCCCAUAAUAUUAUUGGAUGGCAUCAUUUGAUAAUUAAAAUUACGAUGGUGAAAGAUGGGCAUGCGUCCUAUUAGCUAGUUGGAGUGGUAACGGCACCCCAAGGCUACGAUAGGUAGGGGUCCUGAGAGGGAGAUCCCCCACACUGGUACUGAGACAGGGACCAGACUCCUACGGGAGGCAGCAGUGAGGAAUAUUGGUCAAUGGUCGGAAGACUGAACCAGCCAUGCCGCGUGCAGGAAGAAUGCCUUAUGGGUUGUAAACUGCUUUUAUAUGGGAAGAAUAAGGAGUACGCGUACUUUGAUGACGGUACCAUAUGAAUAAGCUUGG